rnacentral:rRNA from 1 species
GAUGAACGCUGGCGGCGUGCCUAAUACAUGCAAGUCGAGCGAAUGGAUUAAGAGCUUGCUCUUAUGAAGUUAGCGGCGGACGGGUGAGUAACACGUGGGUAACCUGCCCAUAAGACUGGGAUAACUCCGGGAAACCGGGGCUAAUACCGGAUAACAUUUUGAACCGCAUGGUUCGAAAUUGAAAGGCGGCCUCGGCUGUCACUUAUGGAUGGACCCGCGUCGCAUUAGCUAGUUGGUGAGGUAACGGCUCACCAAGGCAACGAUGCGUAGCCGAACUGAGAGGGUGAUCGGCCACACUGGGACUGAGACACGGCCCAGACUCCUAUGGGAGGCAGCAGUAGGGAAUCUUCCGCAAUGGACGAAAGUCUGACGGAGCAACGCCGCGUGAGUGAUGAAGGCUUUCGGGUCGUAAAACUCUGUUGUUAGGGAAGAACAAGUGCUAGUUGAAUAAGCUGACACCUUGACGGUACCUAACCAGAAAGCCACGGCUAACUACGUGCCAGCCGCCGCAGUAA